CUGGGGCGCCCUGGGCGGCAGGUGCAGGUGGCAGGUGGCGCCCCCAGCUCAGCGCACAGCUGCUCCCGCGGUGCUUCUGCCUUGCGGGGGGCUUCCCGUUGAUUAGGGACGGCCCCACCUGUCCUCUAACCUAACCGGCUGCUCCAGGCCCUGGCCAGCUUUCUGUGCCUAAAAAGUCUCAGAAAACUAGUGGAAUAAGAAAGCAAAAUCACCUGCUAACACCUAGAGGGAAGCUUCCAGGUCUCGGCUGUUGUAGAUACUGAAGUAAGCACAGGGGUGCGUAGGUCUUUUUGAAUUAGGGUUUUUGUUCUCUUUGGGAGGCUGAAGUCGCAGAGGCGGGUGGAAGACUGUGAGCCAAGGUCUUCAAUGAAGGAGGCAGGAAGAGAAGAUGUGACGAGCCUAAAAUUAGUAAGAACUUUUUAGUGGCAAACAGAUGAUGAAUGUUGCAGACCCCAUGUCCUGAGCUGGAAAUGUGGAAGGAUGGAAAGUCCCGCCCAGAAGCAGAGCCUUCGAGGAGACAAAGUGCAGUAAACACCUGGCGGUCGGCCCAGGCUUCCAAGAACAGUAAGGAUUGCGUGCACUUUCAUAGCCCGAGAGCACAGCGAAACCUCUGAAAGCCUAAUAGAGUGCUGGCGGGCUGAUUCCUCAGCCAAAAAGAAAAAAAAAAUGCAUUUAGAAGAUAAUGAAAAAAUACAGGAAGUAAAUGAAAUGAAAGGUUAAUAGGAGAAACUGCAGCCCUAGAAAGUCUCUCACAGGAGGGACGUUUGAGCUGAGAUCUGAAUGACAAAAGGAGGAGCCAGCCCUUCAAAAAAAUGUCAGGAAUGAGUUCCCCCAGGAGCAGGAGGACUCUGUGACCAGUGUCAGAUGGGCCUGUCAGAGCAAGGCGUGUUGCCCCUCCCUUCCGCUUCCCCCUCUCUUGCACUGGGGGAUCUUCCUCCCUUAAAGGAUCUCAAUGAUGACUCUGCUCCACAACCUGAAGUCACACUUGAUAUUUAUGAAGUGCCGUCCCUCCCUGUCAAGGCAGUCUUGCAUCUGUACCCUGAAGAGAGAACCUCCACGGGCCAUAUUACUACCAAGGCUUUGUCCCAUCACACUUUCCACCCCAACAACACACGGAUGUUAUACCCCUGCUAGGACCCACUAUAAUCACUGUUUCCACGCUCACAAAUACAAAAUGCUCUUAUGUUAAGAGAUGGUCAGCAUUUUGUUUUUGUCACAGAAUCAUUAUCUCUAUAGGUUUGCUCUUUGGAUUUUAAGUAAUAAUCUGACAUAGAGGGUACUUACACAGACCAUGGUACUUAGCCAAAGAUAUCCAGAAGGUUUGCUCAAAAACAAUUCUUGUUGGGUCAGCCUUUAUUAAAUCCUCCCCAGGAGCUGAUAUUUUGAGAACAAAAUAUUACUGGUAAAGAGAAGCAUGUGAAGUUUCCAAAAGCAAAAGCGUAUGUAACCAAUGAAAGGAUAAAAUUUCAAGGCCUGUACAGUAAAGCAGCUGUUAGAUGAUUUACUGGAAAAUUCUUCCAAAACAUAACAGAGGCUUCCUACUACAAAGGAAAUAUUUUCCUUCAAGUCCAUACUAUUAAAGUUCAAUAUGUAACAUACUCAAAAGACCUCUCUAAUAAAAUCUGAGAUUUUCACGAAAACCUCCACCUUAGGGACUUGAUUCUCAUUCCAUCCCUCUGCACAGCCCGAGCAUCACUGGUGUGAGAUUCGUGAUGUGUGUUCUAAACUCCAGACUCAUUCCUUCUGUGCAGUUUCCAGUAUCAAUAGCAGAGGCCGGGACUUCAUCUCUCCAGCCUACGAGUGACUCCUGUUAAACUCAGCAAAUCAGAUAACCUCUCACUUGCAAUCAGAGAAAUUAUCUUAGACCUGCCAGCAGAGCUCUGGGGAUUUACAAGGCAAUGAGGACAACUGCAAAGCAAUACUUAAUGAGGGGGAUGAGGGGGGUCAGCAAGGGAGAGAAAAAUAGACUGUUUCCAGUACCUGCCUUAGCUUUCUACAUGGUCGACCAGAGGCAGAAGGCCUUUCUCGGGUGUUCUCCACCUGUUUUGGCCAAGUCCUGGAGGAGAGAAUGAAGGCAACUCUGAGGUAUGCAGCACAUUGCACGCUCACUGCUCCACAGCCCAGAGCAGUGAUGGAUGAGGACCCCAGGCAACGCUUCCCAUCUAGCCUCAUUCUCGACUCUGCUGACCCAUGAGGCCAUUUAUUAGGAGUCAUCGGAAAGCUCUUGGGCUCUGUAAUGCCGUAUAUUCACGUCGAGCAUCCCCUGGCUCAAAUGACAAGGACUCCACCUGUACAAAGGGCAUUACUGAGCUUCCUGGGGCGUAAUUACUCCUGAGGCUUCGAUCCCCACAGGAAAAGCAAAGUGGCAGUGGACAGAGGAGACACAGUGGGGCAAGUCGAGGACGAGGAAAGAUGUGUCCUGCCACCUGCCUCCCUUCCUAUUCUGAACGUGCCAACCAAUUCCAGCCCACCUGUCCCCCAUGUGCCAGAGUGUGGGGCAGGCCCCUGGAGCAAGAGACGUUCUCCUGGGCAGACAGCUCUUUAUCUGAUUCCUGAUUAAUGGUAAAGUGGCUGCUCUCAGCUCUGGAUGUUCACACCAUAAGACAGGACACUUGGCUUCCACACGUGCAUCUGUUUGAUUGAAACUCCAGGCUGCACAGGCCUACUUUUCUGAAGAAAGGAACGUGAAAAGGGCCCAAUGGCAACAGGAACAUUGAUACAGGAAUGGUUUGGUCAAUGACUACGGCAUAUGAGCUAAAGGUCAUAUUUCGGUAAAAUAGCACCAGGAAUAUUCUCCCAGAAGUCCCCACCUCGAUGUUGCUUCAUGGGAAAAGAGGAUUUCCACUACCUCCGUUUGACCUCAGCCUGAACUUCCCAACUGAUGAAGUUCUUCCCUCUGGCUUAUGUCUCAACUCAGGCAAAAGACCCUGCAAGCAAAGCAUGUCAUGAUGGGAACCCUCAAGUAAUAAGGACUGCCCUGAAGUCAGCAAGACCCCAUACGAUCGACCCCAAAGACAAGGAUCACCCUUGACCUUUACCAUCCACCUGCAUGUACCCACCAACUCUUGUCCCACAUUUUCCCUACAUAAACCUGGAAGUACUUUCAGUACAAUGGAGGCAUCUUUGAAAUGCUAGUCCAUGGUCUUCUCAGUGUGGCCUCCCUUUCUUUCUAAAUACCUUUCUUAUUUCACCACCACCCAUCCUCUACACCUUUGGACUCUGUCAGCAGCAAGUGGCUGAAACCUGGUCUGUUUGGGACCCCCAGAGUGAGGUGCUCUUGCACCCCUGUGCCCUGGUCGUGGUGUGGCAUUAGCAAGAAGCUGAUUCACCUACUUCUAAACCAGUCACCAGGAAGGGGGUGGACUCAAGAACCCCGUCCUGGGACAACAGAAGAGCUGGUCCCUCCUGACCAGCUAGGUCACGGCAUCCUAUUUUCCAGGUUGCAUUAGUAAGAAAGAAGCGAGACAGUAGCUGAUGUGCAGAAACACAUACAUUCCCUCCUCGAGGAUCCUUUUGAACAAACAACUACAUCAAAGACAAAAAUCUUCCAAAGUUGAAGAGGGCUGUCCUUUCAGCAAAAUGUGCGAAUGUCUAUAACUUCCACUUCUUUUGCUCAAAAUCUUCUGACCUGGAAGUGCAUUCAUUUAUUUAAUAUUUUUCUUUGCUUAGUGCAGCCCCCGAAUGAAUGUUUACUGAACCAAGGGUCGAUAAUAGUUAUUUUGUGCCUCUAGCGAUAUUAUUUUCUUAUUUGAUUCUCAACAGUUGAGCGGGUGUUUAGAGUCUACUGGAGAUUUUAUUAACAUAAAUAUUUGUGUUAGAUUGAAUAAAAAUAAAAAUACUAACUGUUACAUAACA